rnacentral:rRNA from 1 species
AUUGAACGCUGGCGGCAGGCUUAACACAUGCAAGUCGAGCGGGGAAGAGUAGCUUGCUACUUGACCUAGCGGCGGACGGGUGAGUAAUGCUUAGGAAUCUGCCUAUUAGUGGGGGACAACAUCUCGAAAGGGAUGCUAAUACCGCAUACGUCCUACGGGAGAAAGCAGGGGACCUUCGGGCCUUGCGCUAAUAGAUGAGCCUAAGUCGGAUUAGCUAGUUGGUGGGGUAAAGGCCUACCAAGGCGACGAUCUGUAGCGGGUCUGAGAGGAUGAUCCGCCACACUGGGACUGAGACACGGCCCAGACUCCUACGGGAGGCAGCAGUGGGGAAUAUUGGACAAUAGGGGGAACCCUGAUCCAGCCAUGCCGCGUGUGUGAAGAAGGCCUUUUGGUUGUAAAGCACUUUAAGCGAGGAGGAGGCUACCGAGAUUAAUACUCUUGGAUAGUGGACGUUACUCGCAGAAUAAGCACCGGCUAACUCUGUG